GGAGGAAAAGAACUAACAAGGAUUCCCCUAGUAACUGCGAGUGAAGCGGGAAAAGCUCAAAUUUAAAAUCUGACAGUCUUUGGCUGUUCGAGUUGUAAUCUAGAGAAGUGCUGCCCGCGCUGGACCGUGUACAAGUCUCCUGGGAUGGAGCGUCAUAGAGGGUGAGAAUCCCGUCUUUGACACGGACUACCAGGGCUUUGUGGUACGCUCUCAAAGAGUCGAGUUGUUUGGGAAUGCAGCUCAAAAUGGGUGGUAAAUUCCAUCUAAAGCUAAAUAUUGGCGAGAGACCGAUAGCGAACAAGUACCGUGAGGGAAAGAUGAAAAGAACUUUGGAAAGAGAGUUAAACAGUACGUGAAAUUGCUGAAAGGGAAACGCUUGAAGUCAGUCGCGUUGGCCAGGGAUCAGCCUCGYUCAUGCGUGGUGUACUUUCUGGUUGACGGGUCAGCAUCAAUUUUGACCGUUGGAAAAAGACUUGGGGAAUGUGGCAGCUCCGGCUGUGUUAUAGCUUCUUGUCACAUACAGCGGUUGGGAUUGAGGAACUCAGCACGCCGCAAGGCCGGGUUUCGACCACGUUCGUGCUUAGGAUGUUGGCAUAAUGGCUUUA
rnacentral:rRNA from 2 species